UCAUAUAAGCAAUGAUCUUCCGGUCUCUUCGCUUCGUUGUGGCAGCUGAUGCCAGUCUACUUGCGUGUGUAUCUGAACCAGAGCUGAAAAUCCUAACCCAAAGACGACGAUAACCGAAGAGUAAGUCGGGGUCCUCCCGCAUCCGCGGAUCCUAAGCGUCUCGAACUGCCGGGUUAUUCCCCAAUGCCCCACGUUAUCCUGGUUUUGGGAUGCCGGGCAGUUCCGGCAGCCCAGCGUUCACAUGAGAAGGUUCUGUUUUCCCUCCUACACUGUACCAUGUAUCUCCGUUCUAAGCGUUCUUAGAGAGACCUACAGCAAUUUCCAUCAGUUCAGCAAUCGAUUUGCUACCCAUUGCGUCUGAAGGUGCCCGUCCAGCAGUCUUUGCAUCUGCCCCUUUUCCAGCUUCCACGGAGCUCCAAGCCUCCACCUUUUGUCUGUAAUCUGCUUCUGCGAGCCACCUGUCUCCAUUAUUUUUAUUUUAUUAGUUGAAAAAACAGAUGAAUCGUUAUCCUCCUUUGCAUUUUGGCCGGCAUGCAUAUACAUUUUUUGAUCUAGAAUUUACAGUUUUGCUUCUUCCCUCCUUUGGUUUCAGCUUGCCGCUCCAGUGCUCCUGCAUUGUUUUCAGGGGACUCGUGACUUAUUUUUCCUCUGUUUCAUUCAGGUUUUACUCUCCGCCAUGUAUUUUUCCUCCGUGAAUGACUUAGAUGGUGAGAGGACAUCUCUACAGCCGUUACACCAAACGCCCCCGCCGCUACACCUGUGCAAAUUCCAGAAAAAGAUGAACCAUACACAGAAGCCCGCGUGCUCCGAUUAAAUUAUGAGGUACUUUCGUUUCUUAGUACUAGUCCUAAUUUUCAUGAGAAUAUGAUGCUGCCUAAAUCAGAUAUGUUUGUAUUUCUCAGGAACCAAGGGCCUAUGAUAAACCAAAGAGACCACUAGCGUUGGAGCAUAAUCAAGCGUGGUUACCAAGAUGAGAAUGAAGACCGAACUUUAAGGCCUUCUACAAUGCAAGAUGCUUAGAAAAAUAAAUCAGUUUUUUUCUUAAAUACCAGUGCUUAUUUAUGCAGGGUAGAUGCUUAAUUGCACCCCUCCUGUAGAAAUACGCACUGGUUCUUAAGAAAAACUUGGUUUGCUGCCGUUACACCAACCGCCCCUGCCGCUACAAAUUAAAUGUGCAAAUUCCAGAAAAAGAUGAACCAUAUACCGAAGCACGCGCGCUCCAAUUGAAUUAUGAGGAACGAAGGGCCUAUGAUAAACCAAAGAGACUACUAGCGUUGGAGCAUAAUCAAGCGUGGUUACAAAGGCGGGAAUGAAGACGGAACUUUAAGGCCUUCUACAAUGCAAGAUGCUUAGAAAAAUAAAUCAGUUUUUUCCUAAACAUCAGUGCUUAUUUAUAUAGGGUAGAUGCUUAAUUACACCCCUCCGGUAGAAAUAUGCACCGGUUCUUAAGAAAAACUUGGUUUACUGCUGUUACACCAACCGCCUGGCCGCUACAAAUUAAAUGUGCAAAUUCCAGAAAAAGACGAACCAUAUACCGAAGCACGCGCGCUCCAAGGUAUUUUUGUUUCUAAGUAGUUCUGGUGUUCAUGAGAAUAUGAUGCUGCCUAAAUCAGAUAUGUUUGUAUUUCUCAGGAACGAAGGGCCUAUGAUAAACCAAAGAGACUACUAGCGUUGGAGCAUAAUCAAGCGUGGUUACAAAGGCAGGAAUGAAGACGGAACUUUAAGGCCUUCUAUAAUGCAAGAUGCUUAGAAAAAUAAAUCUGCUUUUUCCUAAACAUCAGUGCUUAUUUAUACAGGGUAGACGCUUAAUUACACCCCUCCUGUAGAAAUAUGCACUGGUUCUUAAGAAAAACUUGGUUUACUACUGUUACACCAACCGCCCGGCUGCUACAAAUUAAAUGUGCAAAUUCCAGAAAAAGACGAACCAUAUACCGAAGCACGCGUGCUCCAAGGUAUUUUUGUUUCUAAGUAGUUAUAGUGUUCAUGAGAAUAUGAUGCUGCCUAAAUUAGAUACUCCCUUCGUCCUUUAAAGAGUGUACUUUCAAGUUUGUUGAAGAGUCAAACUAUCUUAAAGUUUGACCGAGUUUGUGUAAAAAUAUAUCAAUGUUUAUGAAACCAAAUAGGUACAUGAUAAAAGUAUAUUUUAUCAUUAAUCUAAUGCUACUAAUUUGAUGGCAUAAAUGUUGAUGUAACAUUAUAUAAAUAUGGUCAAACAUAUUUGACUUUUCAACAAAGUUGGAAGUAUACUCUUUAAAGGACGGAGGGAGUAUGUUUGUAUUUCUCAAGAACGAAGGGCCUAUGAUAAACCAAAGAGACUACUAGCGUUGGAGCAUAAUCAAGCGUGGUUACAAAGGCGGGAAUGAAGACGGAACUUUAAGGCCUUCUACAAUGCAAGAUGCUUAGAAAAAUUAAAUGUGCAAAUUCCAGAAAAAGAUGAACCAUAUACUGAAGCACGCGCGCUGCAAUUGAAUUAUGAGGAACGAAGGGCCUAUGAUAAACCAAAGAGACUACUAGCGUUGGAGCAUAAUCAAGCGUGGUUACAAAGGCGGGAAUGAAGAUGGAACUUUAAGGCCUUCUACAAUGCAAGAUGCUUAGAAAAAUAAAUCAGUUUUUUCUUAAAUAACAGUGCUUAUUUAUAUAGGGUAAACGCUUAAUUGCACCCCUCCUAGUUCCUAAGAAAAACUUGGUUAUAAAAAUUUGUCGUAGCCGUAACCCUGUGUACCAAGUUGUGUCCAACGACCAGCUUACAGAAUCUCAGCCUUUUGUUUACUUUUGGCAAGAGCUCACAUCAUGUCGUGAUUGGAAAAUUUGAAGGUACUUCAUAUGUACUCCCUACUCCCUGUGUUCACCGA